rnacentral:rRNA from 1 species
CGUGUAGGCGGUCAUGUAAGUCAGAUGUGAAAGCCUCCCGCUUAACGGGAGAAGUGCAUUUGAAACUACAUGACUGGAGUACGGGAGAGGAGAGUGGAAUUCCCGGUGUAGAGGUGAAAUUCGUAGAUAUCGGGAGGAACACCAGUGGCGAAGGCGGCUCUCUGGCCUGAUACUGACGCUGAGACGCGAAAGCGUGGGGAGCAAACAGGAUUAGAUACCCUGGUAGUCCACGCCGUAAACGAUGGGCACUAGGUGUAGGAGGUAUUGACCCCUUCUGUGCCGAAGCUAACGCAUUAAGUGCCCCGCCUGGGGAGUACGGCCGCAAGGUUAAA